rnacentral:rRNA from 1 species
GAUGAACGCUGGCGGCGUGCCUAAUACAUGCAAGUCGAGCGAACAGACGAGGAGCUUGCUCCUCUGACGUUAGCGGCGGACGGGUGAGUAACACGUGGAUAACCUACCUAUAAGACUGGGAUAACUUCGGGAAACCGGAGCUAAUACCGGAUAAUAUAUUGAACCGCAUGGUUCAAUAGUGAAAGACGGUUUUGCUGUCACUUAUAGAUGGAUCCGCGCCGCAUUAGCUAGUUGGUAAGGUAACGGCUUACCAAGGCAACGAUGCGUAGCCGACCUGAGAGGGUGAUCGGCCACACUGGAACUGAGACACGGUCCAGACUCCUACGGGAGGGAGCAGUAGGGAAUCUUCCGCGAUGGGCGAAAGCCUGACGGAGCAACGCCGCGUGAGUGAUGAAGGUCUUCGGAUCGUAAAACUCUGUUAUUAGGGAAGAACAAAUGUGUAAGUAACUAUACACGUCUUGACGGUACCUAAUCAGAAAGCCACGGCUAACUCCGUG